UACAGAGGUCUCAAGCGUUGUUCGGAUUCAUUGGGCGUAAAGGGUGCGUAGGCGGCGCGGUAAGUCGGGUGUGAAAUCUCGGAGCUUAACUCCGAAACUGCAUUCGAUACUGCCGUGCUUGAGGACUGGAGAGGAGACUGGAAUUUACGGUGUAGCGGUGAAAUGCGUAGAUAUCGUAAGGAAGACCAGUGGCGAAGGCGGGUCUCUGGACAGUUCCUGACGCUGAGGCGCGAAAGCUAGGGUAGCAAACGGG
rnacentral:rRNA from 1 species